rnacentral:misc_RNA from 1 species
GAUGAAGAACGCAGCGAAAUGCGAUAAGUAAUGUGAAUUGCAGAAUUCAGUGAAUCAUCGAAUCUUUGAACGCACAUUGCGCCCCCUGGUAUUCCGGGGGGCAUGCCUGUCCGAGCGUCAUUACAACCCUCAAGCUCAGCUUGGUGUUGGGCCCCGCCGCCCCGGCGGGCCCUAAAGUCAGUGGCGGUGCCGUCCGGCUCCGAGCGUAGUAAUUCUUCUCGCUCUGGAGGUCCGGUCGUGUGCUCGCCAGCAACCCCCAAUUUUUUUCAGGUUGACCUCGGAUCAGGUAGGGAUACCCGCUGAACUUAAGCAUAUCAAUAAGCCGGAGGA